GCGGCGUGCUUACACUAUGCAGUCGAACGAACUUCGGGUUAGUGGCGGACGGGUGAGUACGCUGAGUCUGCCCUCAGGAGGGGGACAACAGUUGGAAACGACUGCUAAUACCCCAUAUGCCGCGAGGUGAAAUGAAUUUCGCCUGAGGAUGAGCUCGCGUCUGAUUAGCUAGUUGGUGUAGGUAAUGGCUCACCAAGGCAUCGAUCAGUAGCUGGUCUGAGAGGAUGAUCAGCCACACUGGGACUGAGACACGGCCCAGACUCCUACGGGAGGCAGCAGUGGGGAAUUUUCCGCAAUGGGCGAAAGCCUGACGGAGCAACGCCGCGUGAGGGGAUGAAGGCCUCUGGGCUGUAAACCUCUUUUAUCAAGGAAGAAGAUCUGACGGUACUUGAUGAAUAAGCCACGGCUAAUUCCGUGCCAGCAGCCGCGGUAAUACGGGAGUGGCAAGCGUUAUCCGGAAUUAUUGGGCGUAAGCGUCCG
rnacentral:rRNA from 1 species